AUUUCAAACCCUACAGUGUGUUAUGUUUGUGUUUUUCACGCUGCGGUGUUCAGUGAAAUGAAAUUGUUUGCGGUACUGGGUUUUUUUGAUUUACCUUUCUAAAACCUAAAUUUGACCUAAAUUUAGCACGUAAACUUUGUCAAUCCGAUGUUAAUUUAUGACAAACACGUACCAAUGUCAGGUUAAUAAUUUGUAACAAAAUACAGACCAUCACCCUUUAGUCAAUCUUCAAUAUGCUUCGGCUGCCAAUCCGAAGCUGUUUUGAUUUAUAUGUUUACAACGUGACAAGUAACUCGACCUCUGCCACCUGGAGCUCAGUGUUCUGUAGACACGUGGAGGAGUGAAGACACAAACAAUCCUGGAAAUUCUGGAAAUGCCAAGGCCGAAUAUAAUGUAUUAUUGACUGUGCAGCUAUUCAGCUUCGUCUAUAGGUCAUUCUGAUACCAGUCUAUACCCGCUUCAAGGUCCUGCGACUUUCUUGACCUUCUAUUUCCUCAAACGAUUAUCGAUAUCGAACGCAAAUGCAGCUAGCUCCAGAAAGCAAUACUUUCAGUCAAGAUAGGGCUUCAAGCAGUGGGUUUAUACACUAAGAAAAGUGAGCGAAGUAAAAGAAGAGAGGGAUCUGGGGUAAAGGCCAUCUCUUGAGGCUCCUCUCUUUUUUCUUUGUCUGCUUCCUAGCUUUGCACAAGGUUUCUUCACAAGAGCAAGAAAACUGAUUUACAUGCAUCAGCAGUAUCGACAUAUGCGCAAUACAAAAAGCGUUGUGAUGUGUUUAUUUUGUGGUAUAAAAGUAUCAUUUUAAAUGUAGAUGAAUGAAUCAUGGUGCUAAAAAUACGUGUUGCAGUGAUGGUGUUUCAUUGACUUUUUUGCGGUGAUGCGGUGUUUGUUAAUUUUUUUGGUGGGGUGUUGCGGUGUUCAGACCCCCCACCAAAAGAAUCUCAACUUUGAUGACUGUAUUUCCUUAACAGACUUCCAGAAUUUGAUUAUUGAAGACUGGAAAUAAGAAACAGGGACCUACCUUGAGUCUUUUUCAUACCGGCUUUUCAGGAUGAUUAAUAUAAACAAUGCCUCUGAUCUCUAGAUAUGACUACCUCAGGCCAAGCUUAAAUUGCAGAAAACCCUGAUUGAGUCUAAUUGUAUGCCUCUAUAUUUGAUAAACUUAAACAUGCUUAUCCUUCUUUACUGUGAUAUGUAUGCUCUUGUGCAAUUUCUAAAGCUUAAGCAAAUAUUAAGCUUACAAUUAUUCUGUGGAACUCAAUAAAACAAGCUAAACACAAAAAAAGUUUCAGAACUCAUAGCUGUGACUUGUUUACUACACCGUGCAAAAUACAUGUACGUUUCCAAAUUUAUAAUGACAAGACUUUUGGUAACUUGAAUUAAAUAUCUUACCUCUAAGUUGGCCUUCUACUAGCGUGCGGAGAAAAAACAAUUAAUUGUGCUGAAUUUUGAAGGAAAAUUGUGCAGGAAAAACGACUUUGAUUGUGCAGGGAAUUGUGCGGGAUUGUGCAAUCUUUUGAUGAACUAAACUUCAAUUUUAAGUGUUGUUGCCUAGUCCUACAACAAGGAAAUUCUGCAUUGACGAUAAUUUAGCCAAAUUUAUUUCACUUGUAGUUCAAAUACACCUAGCAAUUGCCACUUGUGAAGCAAACUGUGUUGGGUGACUGACUCUGUCUAAACAAAAUCAUGUUAAAUGACACGACUAGCUCGACACGCAUAAAACCAAACUAGAAUGCUGUAUCUUCCAUUAUAAAUGAGUUCCAUUUUAAAAUAUUCCUACCUUAAUUCAAUAAAAAUAUAUAGCUUGAAUAUUCCUUCAUAAACUGCAUUAAGGUUUGCAAAUUCUUGGAUGUUAUCCACAAAAAACACAAACUGAAAGUUUAUCCAAAUUACAUACAAUUGGAUUUGAUGCCUUGUUAUUGUUAAUAUUCACUGGAGCACUUUGAUUGAGGAAGAAUCGUGAGAUUUCUUGCUUGCUUUGAAAGGUAAAUAGCCUGAAAAGUUUGUAGGAAUCUCUGGAAGCAAUAGGAACCUGUUUUAUUGAAAUAUUUAAGCUAAUCUUCAGGGCUGUCAAUAAGGGCCGUAGCCCUUAGCACCUGUUACAGCUGAGCAUACCUGAUGGGCCCUUGAUGCUAUAUGUGAACUUGCAUGUAAAAAAUACAGUUCACCUACAAAGUAACAAGUUUGUUAUGGGUGUGAAGACCAAGGCUACAGGUGAAUCAAAACUUAACAACAGCCCUGAAUCUUUAAGGAUUGUGCGGGAUUUUGUGACCUGCAAACACAGAUGGUUGGCUGUAGCUUGUCUUGGUUUUGGAGAAUUGUGCGAAAUGUAUUGCAACCAAGAGCUUGUAGCCAUGCUAACUCUUUGAAAAACAUUCUACUCUUGUGGAUUUAAACGACUGUACGUAAACUGUACAAGAGCAGUGAAUUUCUAUGAUGGCGAGCUAGGGCGGCUAUUUCUGUGAACAGUUACGUUCAGCAGCGCACAGGGUCUAGGUACAACGAUACAAAUAGUGUAGGCCUUACACAAUCAUAGCGAACUUUGUUUAGAGGGCUUUCUUUAUGUUUGUCUUUUUGUCAUGUUUUCUGUGUUUUUACUGUGAUUUGGGAAGAAUCUGUGCAAGUAACUUGAAGUAUAUCAGGAAAGAAAGAUAUCACUAAAAGAUUACAACAUUUUUUUCAGAUUCAGAGAGAACUCAAGUGUCAAGUGUUCAGGAUCCCCGAAAAGCCCUUUUUUAGGUUCAAGACCUUCCCUACCCCCCCUGCUCCUGCCUGGAUUUCUAUGAAUUUUGAACCCCCACCCCUCCCCCCUCCCCUCCUGAGAGAAUUUCCAGAAACCCAUCUGUUGGGCAGGUGUGGAUUUUUUCUGGAAUAACCAAUUUUAGGUCAAAGCAUAAUGAACAUAUCGAUGUAGGUGGUGGCAAAGCGAACAAAAAGGUAAACCAGAUUAGUGAAUUGCUAUUGAAGGAUACCAGGACAGUAGACUUUAUUGGCUAGUUUCAAAUUUGG